GACGAACGCUGGCGGCGUGCUUAACACAUGCAAGUCGAGCGAUGAAGCCGGAGCUUGCUCUGGUGAAUUAGUGGCGAACGGGUGAGUAACACGUGAGUAACCUGCCCUUGACUCUGGGAUAACUGCGGGAAACUGUAGCUAAUACCGGAUACGACCCUCGGAGGCAUCUCCUGGGGGUGGAAAGAAUUUCGGUCAAGGAUGGACUCGCGGCCUAUCAGCUAGUUGGUGAGGUAAAGGCUCACCAAGGCGACGACGGGUGGCCGGCCUGAGAGGGUGACCGGCCACACUGGGACUGAGACACGGCCCAGACUCCUACGGGAGGCAGCAGUGGGGAAUAUUGCACAAUGGGCGCAAGCCUGAUGCAGCAACGCCGCGUGAGGGAUGACGGCCUUCGGGUUGUAAACCUCUUUUAGCAGGGAAGAAGCGAAAGUGACGGUACCUGCAGAAAAAGCACCGGCUAACUACGUGCCAGCCGCCGCAGUAA
rnacentral:rRNA from 1 species